rnacentral:rRNA from 1 species
GACGAACGCUGGCGGCGUGCUUAACACAUGCAAGUCGAGCGGUAAGGCCCUUUCGGGGUACGACGAGCGGCGAACGGGUGAGUAACACGUGGGUGACCUGCCCUCAGCUCUGGGAUAAGCCUGGGAAACCGGGUCUAAUACUGGAUAUGACUCCAUGACGCAUGUUGUGGGGUGGAAAGCCUUGUGCGGCUGAGGAUGGGCCCGCGGCCUAUCAGCUUGUUGGUGGGGUGAUGGCCUACCAAGGCGACGACGGGUAGCCGGCCUGAGAGGGCGACCGGCCACACUGGGACUGAGACACGGCCCAGACUCCUACGGGAGGGCAGCAGUGGGGAAUCUUGCGCAAUGGGCGAAAGCCUGACGCAGCGACGCCGCGUGAGGGAUGACGGCCUGGUGUAACU